rnacentral:tRNA from 1 species
CAAAGAGUAGUUUAACAGAAGAAUCCUAGCUUUGGGAGUUAGGGGUGAGAGUUAAAAUCUCUUUUCUUUGA